rnacentral:rRNA from 1 species
UGGGGAAUAUUGCGCAAUGGGCGAAAGCCUGACGCAGCGACGCCGCGUGAGGGAUGAAGGUUUUCGGAUCGUAAACCUCUGUCAGAAGGGAAGAAACCGCACUGUGCUGAUCAGCAGUGCCUUGACGGUACCUUCAAAGGAAGCACCGGCUAACUCCGUGCCAGCAGCCGCGGUAAUACGGAGGGUGCAAGCGUUAAUCGGAAUUACUGGGCGUAAAGCGCACGUAGGCUGCUUUGUAAGUCAGGGGUGAAAUCCCACGGCUCAACCGUGGAACUGCCUUUGAUACUGCUUAGCUUGAAUCCGGGAGAGGGUGGCGGAAUUCCAGGUGUAGGAGUGAAAUCCGUAGAUAUCUGGAGGAACAUCAGUGGCGAAGGCGGCCACCUGGACCGGUAUUGACGCUGAGGUGCGAAAGCGUGGGGAGCAAACAGG